rnacentral:misc_RNA from 1 species
CGCCCGACUCUCCGCGCUCGGGGCCGGGCCUCGAACGCCCGACCGGGGACGAGAGGAAGGAGAG